rnacentral:rRNA from 1 species
GACGAACGCUGGCGGCGUGCUUAACACAUGCAAGUCGAACGGAAAGGCCCUGCUUUUGUGGGGUGCUCGAGUGGCGAACGGGUGAGUAACACGUGAGUAACCUGCCCUUGACUUUGGGAUAACUUCAGGAAACUGGGGCUAAUACCGGAUAGGAGCUCCUGCUGCAUGGUGGGGGUUGGAAAGUUUCGGCGGUUGGGGAUGGACUCGCGGCUUAUCAGCUUGUUGGUGGGGUAGUGGCUUACCAAGGCUUUGACGGGUAGCCGGCCUGAGAGGGUGACCGGCCACAUGGGGACUGAGAUACGGCCCAGACUGCUACGGGAGGCAACAGUGGGGAAUAUUGCACAAUGGGCGGAAGCCUGAUGCAGCAACGCCGCGUGCGUGAUGACGGCCUUCGGGUUGUAAACCGCUUUCGCCUGUGACGAAGCGUGAGUGACGGUAAUGGGUAAAGAAGCACCGGCUAACUACGUG